rnacentral:rRNA from 1 species
UACGGAGGGGGCUAGCGUUGUUCGGAAUUACUGGGCGUAAAGCGCACGUAGGCGGCUUUGCAAGUUAGCGGUGAAAGCCCGGGGCUCAACUCCGGAAUUGCCUUUAAAACUGCAUCGCUAGAGUUGUGGAGAGGUAAGUGGAAUUCCGAGUGUAGAGGUGAAAUUCGUAGAUAUUCGGAAGAACACCAGUGGCGAAGGCGACUUACUGGACACAUACUGACGCUGAGGUGCGAAAGCGUGGGGAGCAAACAGG